GACGAACGCUGGCGGCGUGCUUAACACAUGCAAGUCGAACGGAAAGGCCCUGCUUUUGUGGGGUGCUCGAGUGGCGAACGGGUGAGUAACACGUGAGUAACCUGCCCUUGACUUUGGGAUAACGUCAGGAAACUGGGGCUAAUACCGGAUAGGAGCUCCUGCUGCAUGGUGGGGGUUGGAAAGUUUCGGCGGUUGGGGAUGGACUCGCGGCUGAUCAGCUUGUUGGUGGGGUAGUGGCUUACCAAGGCUUUGACGGGUAGACGGCCUGGGAGGGUGACCGGCCACAUUGGGACUGAGAUACGGCCCAGACUCCUACGGGAGGCAGCAGUGGGGAAUAUUGCACAAUGGGCGGAAGCCUGCUGCAGCAACGCCGCGUGCGGGAUGACGGCCUUCGGGUUGUAAACCGCUUUCGCCUGUGACGAAGCGUGAGUGACGGUAAUGUGUAAAGAAGCACCGGCUAACUACGUG
rnacentral:rRNA from 1 species